rnacentral:rRNA from 1 species
CUACGGGAGGCAGCAGUGGGGAAUUUUCCGCAAUGGGCGAAAGCCUGACGGAGCAAGACCGCGUGGGGGAGGAAGGUUCUUGGAUUGUCAACCCCUUUUCUCAGGGAAGAAGAAAGUGACGGUACCUGAGGAAGAAGCAUCGGCUAACUCCGUGCCAGCAGCCGCGGUAAUACGGAGGAUGCAAGCGUUAUCCGGAAUGAUUGGGCGUAAAGAGUCCGUAGGUAGCCCCUCAAGUCUGCUGUUAAAGAGCGAGGCUUAACUUCGUAAAGGCAGUGGAAACUGGGGAGCUAGAGUGUAGUAGGGGCAGAGGGAAUUCCUGGUGUAGCGGUGAAAUGCGUAGAGAUCAGGAAGAACACCGGUGGCGAAAGCGCUCUGCUGGGCUACAACUGACACUGAGGGACGAAAGCUAGGGGAGCGAAUGGGAUUAGAUACCCUGGU